rnacentral:rRNA from 1 species
UACGUAGGGGGCAAGCGUUGUCCGGAUUUAUUGGGCGUAAAGCGCUCGCAGGUGGUUCGUCGCGUCGUGCGUGAAAGACCCCGGCUCAACUGGGGAGGGUCGUGCGAUACGGGCGGACUGGAGGCCAGUAGGGAGAGCGGAACUCCUGGUGUAGCGGUGGAAUGCGCAGAUAUCAGGAAGAACACCGGUGGCGAAGGCGGCUCUCUGGGCCUUACCUGGACGCUGAGGGAGCGAAAGCGUGGGUAGCGAACAGGA